rnacentral:lncRNA from 1 species
ACGAUUUAUAUUUUAUCACCUCUAUCUACUACUAAUCAAAUUUUAUAGAAAUACUCUUGUUUAAAAGUCAAUAUACAUCUUGUGCACGAAUUACUACACUACUAGUACUAUUCUUUUAUUCCAAACCACUCAAUUUGAACCAAACCACAUGCAGGAAGUAGCCAAGAAGAAUCAUUUGGUGAAGAUGCGGUCCCAUUUAUCAUCACAAAGUCAAGUUGAUAUUUGAGAAUAGCCAAAACGACAAUAAACCAUCAAUUAUUAUUAUUUAUUUAAAACCCAAAC